GAAAUGGACGACUAGGGUUCCGGCCUGCUUGGCUUAAUCGAGCAGGUGCUGGUCCGAGAGUUGUCGACCUCAGGCGAGGUUACACGGCGGGAUAAAAGCCCGGGAGAG
rfam:Burkholderia glathei PML1(12) contig00125, whole genome shotgun sequence.